UUUUGUGCUCUGAGACAUAUACAAAUAAUAAUAUGAUGUUAAGAUCGAUCUUACUCACAAUAAAUGACAUCGUAGGAGAGACGACUUUGGAGUGGGAAAAUAGAAUGAAAAUCGCCAAAGGCACAGCUGAAGGGUUGGAAUAUUUACAUGAAAAAUGUACACCCAAAAUCAUUCAUCGUGAUGUUAAGGCCGAUAAUAUACUUAUUGACGAUAAAUAUGAGCCAAAGGUCGCAGAUUUUGGGCUUGACCUUCUUUUUCCGGAAACUGGUAG
rnacentral:misc_RNA from 1 species